rnacentral:rRNA from 1 species
UUAAACUAGGAUUAGAUACCCUAUUAUUAGAAAUAAUACAUUGUUAGUAAAUAAUAUUUAUGAAAACAAAAAAUCAUGGCGGUAUCUUAAGCUUUUCAGAGGAAUUUGCUCUUUAAUGGAUAAAACACCUAAAUCUUACUAAAAUUGGUUAAGACAGUUUGUAUACCACUAUUUAAGUAAUUAUUAAUUAUAAUUGCUGUAAAUUUUAAACAGAAAAAAAGUUAAGUCAAGGUGCAGCUAAAAUUUUAGAAUGAAGUGAAUUACAAUGCUUUUUAGAAAAUACAUUUUUUAAAAGAAAAUUAGGAUUUGAAAGUAAAGAUUUUAAUAGAAUGAUUAAUUGAAUUAAGCUCUGGGAUAUGUACAUAUCGCCCGUCACUCUU